rnacentral:rRNA from 1 species
CCUACGGGUGACAGCAGUGAGGAAUAUUGGUCAAUGGCCGGAAGGCUGAACCAGCCAAGUCGCGUGAAGGAUGACGGUGCUAAGGAUUGUAAACUUCUUUUAUCAAGGGAUAAAAUGAGGCUCGAGUGCCUGAUUGAGUGUACUUGAUGAAUAAGCAUCGGCUAACUCCGUGCCAGCAGCCGCGGUAAUACGGAGGAUGCGAGCGUUAUCCGGAUUCAUUGGGUGUAAAGGGAGCGUAGAUGGGUUGUAAAGUCAGGUGUGAAAGGUGCAGGCUCAACCGGUGAAUGGCAAUUGAUACUGGCAGGCUGGAGUACAGUAGAGGUAGGCGGAAUUCGUGGUGUAGCGGUGAAAUGCUUAGAUAUCACGAAGAACAUCGAUUGCGAAGGCAGUUUACUAAGCUGCAAUUGACACUGAGGAUCGAAAGUGUGGGUAGCAAACAGGAUUAGAUACCCUAGUAGUC